GGACAACUCUCUCUCUCAUUUUAACUUUCAGUAGCCUUAAACUCUUCCCUUAUUUUCACUUUCAUAGUCACCACACGCAAAAUCUUCAUCUUCUCCAUUAGUCGCUGCUCCUUCUCUUUUUUGAAAAUUCUCUCAUGUCGAUCGGCUUUCUUUCUCCGACGCUACCGUAGUUCUUCAACUGGUAAAAUUUUUCCUUUUUAUGUGUGAUCUGCUUUUGCUUGCUCGAUUUGUUGAGAAUCUGUUGACAGUUUGUUUCUAGCCUCUGAGAAAUUAUUUUCCUACUUGUUAUGUAAGGAAUUAAUAUUGAUUUGCAG
rnacentral:misc_RNA from 1 species